rnacentral:rRNA from 1 species
GAGAUCACAUGGCGUGGCGAGCCUCAAAACCGUCACGAAGCGUGAACUCUUGGUGAAAUGGAGCACUUUCGUGUCCGCUGGUUAACAUCAAUUUCGAACGUCAUAAAAAGGCUGGAGGGAUGUGGCUCCUUCGGGAGUGUUAUAGCCCUUGAUAGAUGUGAUGUUUGGGGUCGAGGAUUGCAACGGAUACCCUCCGGGGCUAGCCGCCUGAUCUCUAAUCGGUGUUGGGUUACGGAUAGCAUGCUGACCGUGAUCUAAUUACUGGUUAAAAGGUUAGAGCGUGCAUAAA